CGAGUUAUAAAUAGACAAUUUUUCCCUUAAUUUUUUUCUCCCCUCUUCCUGCAUUUUUGGGUUGACUUUUUAGUCUAGAAUUGGAGAAAAGGGAUCAAAUUUGCAAUUUCAUAGCAGUUUUGGGUAAUACUGAUGAUAUUACAGCGGAGGGAUAGGGGGUGUAAAGUGUCUUUCUGCAGAGCAAUCAUUGUGUCGGAAGUGAGAUUUUCACCCCUGUCAACUUCAAAUCCGUGUAGCAAAAAAUCUAAAGGGUCAACCCCCUACAAAAUUAUGAUGAGGAGAUUGCCAAAUGUUGUCCCCAUUGUGCCUAUAAAGAUUGGAACCAACGGAAUGUUGAGCAAAAAGCUACAGCCUGUGAUGUUACAGUCAUUUAACAUUGAAGUCAAUGGGCAAAUAAUUGCUAGUCUGGUGAUACUAACGAUUAUCCAGUACCUACUUGAUGCAUUCUUCCAAACAGAGUUAUCUUCUCGAGAAUAUCUCGUAUGAUUUAGCGCUUUUUCUGGACGUUAGGCUAAAACUAAAAGUAGGACUUCGUUCACCAGCGUUCUUAUUACUUAGGCCUAUAUUUUUUUUUAUCUAGCACAAACAGUUGUCUUUUAUUUCCGAGGAGAUUUUCUGAUCUUGAUCACAGAGAUUGAAUGCUGGUCUUGUGUUUAAUCAAAUUGGCGGAUAUUAGUAACAUUAACCUUUUGGCAAAGGUUAGCUUGAUGAUGUUACUGACUUUGCAGUGUAGUGGAAGAUGUUAACCUAACUCUGAAGUCAAUGAUGUACAAUAUUAUGUCAAUGUCACAGUUCCACUACCACGCAUAAUGGGAAUACAUGUAUAAACAAUACUUACCUACUUUGAUUGAAAUAUGUCCAUUCCUACUUAAAAUUUGCGUAGAUGCAUUAUUCAUUAUUACAGUUGUAUCCAUAAAAUGUAAAUUGUAUUUUCUCUUUAUUAGUAUAACAUAUAGAUCAAACGAAAUAACAUCAUUUCACUCAUGACUCGUCGUCGUCACCCGCCUUCGUAGAAGACAGUGUCAUCAUAUCGAGUACAUGCAAAAAAUAGAACAGUGCUACAGCAAUAUAGCAGAUAAGGUCUAAUGUGAAGGACUUGUUUAAGUAAUCUAAAUUUGGCAACAGUUUUCAGCUUAAAAGUAAAUAUUUAUUAGAAACCUGAAGGUGAGAUGAGAAGUUCAUAACAAAUUGAUACGAAAUUAAUCAUUUCAUAGAUUAGUAUGACGAUCAUGGGCUACCAUAUCUUUAUACUUGCUGGGUACCCUUCAUUUAGUCACUGUGUAACUGUGUAGGGGGUGGGGUUAAAUGAUUAAUGCAUGUAGAUCAUAAGGUCUGUCAUUUAGUGAUGUGGCUUAGUUUUGAUUCCACAUUUUCAGGAGUAGGGUCGACUGUCCUCCCACUGUUAAAGAUCCCUACAUAUUUAACCAUGUUAAUCAUGAAAUGACCUAGUUAAGCCCCAAGUCUUUUUCUUGGCAGUGCGCUACUGUGGAAGACCCUAGGGACUUUUUUACACCAUUAUCUCCCACCACGAUGGAUGGGACGAAAAAACGAGGUCCCGUGUACAAAUUGGCAUGCACAUAAAAGAUCCCUUGACAGUUGGAAUUUGAUGUAAGAAUAGGCCAUAGUGCUGCUGCCCAGGCAAAAUUUCCCUCAUAGUACACUGUAUGGCGUGUGACCGACUUCAUUAUCCCAGUUCGGAGUAGGACAGUCAACCCCAUUUCAUUUCAUUUCUCUCUUGGCAGUGCGCUACUAUGGAAGACCCUGGAGACUUUGUUAGACAGUUAUCUCCCAACACCCCCAGACACUUUUUAUAGAUUUCUUUUGUAUGUUUAUCUGCACUGUUGUAUUAAUGAAUGAACAAAGAUUAAAAGCCAUUCCAUUAUUGGAGCAGAAACUUG